UACAGGGGGGGGCAAGCGUUGUUCGGAAUUACUGGGCGUAAAGGGCCAGUAGGCGGCCAACUAAGUCCGACGUGAAAUCCCUAGGCUUAACCUAGGAACUGCGUCGGAUACUGGAUGGCUUGAAUUCGGGAGAGGGAUGCAGAAUUCCAGGUGUAGCGGUGAAAUUCGUAGAUAGUCGGGAGGAACACCGGUGGCGAAGGCGGCGACCUGGGUCGAUACUGACACUGAGGCGCGAAAGCCAGGGGAGCGAACGGG
rnacentral:rRNA from 1 species